AGUGAACGCUGGCGGUAGGCCUAACACAUGCAAGUCGAACGGCAGCACAGUAAGAGCUUGCUCUUACGGGUGGCGAGUGGCGGACGUGUGAGGAAUACAUCGGAAUCUACUUUUUCGUGGGGGAUAACGUAGGGAAACUUACGCUAAUACCGCAUACGACCUACGGGUGAAAGCAGUGGAUCUUCUGACCUUGCGCGAUUGAAUUAGCCGAUGUCGGAUUUGCUAGUUGGCGGGGUAAAGGCCCACCAAGGCGACGAUCCGUAGAUGGUCGGAGAGGCUGAUCGGCCACACUGGAACUGAGCCACGGUCCAGACUCCUAAGGGAGGCAGCAGUGGGGAAUAUGGGACAAUGGGCGCAAGCCUGAUCCAGCCAUACCGCGUGGGUGAAGAAGGCCUUCGGGUUGUAAAGACCUUUUGUUGGUAAAGAAAAGCAGCAGGUUAAUACCCCGCUGUUCUGACGGUACCCAAAGAAUAAGCACCGGCUAACUUCGUG
rnacentral:rRNA from 1 species